rnacentral:rRNA from 1 species
AAGUCGAGCGAACUGAUUAGAAGCUUGCUUCUAUGACGUUAGCGGCGGACGGGUGAGUAACACGUGGGCAACCUGCCUGUAAGACUGGGAUAACUUCGGGAAACCGAAGCUAAUACCGGAUAGGAUCUUCUCCUUCAUGGGAGAUGAUUGAAAGAUGGUUUCGGCUAUCACUUACAGAUGGGCCCGCGGUGCAUUAGCUAGUUGGUGAGGUAACGGCUCACCAAGGCAACGAUGCAUAGCCGACCUGAGAGGGUGAUCGGCCACACUGGGACUGAGACACGGCCCAGACUCCUACGGGAGGCAGCAGUAGGGAAUCUUCCGCAAUGGACGAAAGUCUGACGGAGCAACGCCGCGUGAGUGAUGAAGGCUUUCGGGUCGUAAAACUCUGUUGUUAGGGAAGAACAAGUACGAGAGUAACUGCUCGUACCUUGACGGUACCUAACCAGAAAGCCACGGCUAACUACGUGCCAGCAGCCGCGGUAAUACGUAGGUGGCAAGCGUUAUCCGGAAUUAUUGGGCGUAAAGCGCGCGCAGGCGGUUUCUUAAGUCUGAUGUGAAAGCCCACGGCUCAACCGUGGAGGGUCAUUGGAAACUGGGGAACUUGAGUGCAGAAGAGAAAAGCGGAAUUCCACGUGUAGCGGUGAAAUGCGUAGAGAUGUGGAGGAACACCAGUGGCGAAGGCGGCUUUUUGGUCUGUAACUGACGCUGAGGCGCGAAAGCGUGGGGAGCAAACAGGAUUAGAUACCCU